GACGAACGCUGGCGGCGUGCUUAACACAUGCAAGUCGAGCGGUAAGGCCCUUUCGGGGGUACACGAGCGGCGAACGGGUGAGUAACACGUGGGCGACCUGCCCUCAGCUCUGGGAUAAGCCCGGGAAACUGGGUCUAAUACCGGAUAUGACCUCUCAUCGCAUGGUGGGUGGUGGAAAGUUUUUUCGGCUGAGGAUGGGCCCGCGGCCUAUCAGCUUGUUGGUGGGGUGAUGGCCUACCAAGGCGACGACGGGUAGCCGGCCUGAGAGGGCGACCGGCCACACUGGGACUGAGACACGGCCCAGACUCCUACGGGGGGCAGCAGUGGGGAAUAUUGCGCAAUGGGCGGAAGCCUGACGCAGCGACGCCGCGUGGGGGAUGACGGCCUUCGGGUUGUAAACCUCUUUCGACCUUGACGAAGGCCUUCGGGUUGACGGUAGGGGUAGAAGAAGCACCGGCCAACUACGUGC
rnacentral:rRNA from 1 species